AUGACCUCCUCCUUGGCUGAAGAUUCUGCCUUUAUUGGCUCGAAUGUCAAUGUGUUCAACGUUCAGAGAUGCCCCAAACCUCCUUGUGUGCAAAAGCAGGCACUGGAAGAAUACCAACAGAUGUAAGAAGAAUCUCAGUGAGGUAUACUGAUAAAGGAGCGGAGUCUGACAACUGUAUGGUUUUGGAGCACAGGAGUGAAAUCUCUCUGGAAGUCUUGGAAACACCAUGCAUUUCACAACAGAAUUUGCACGGCUUCAUGCAAACGGAAAACGGGAUGCUGCCCAUUAGGAAGAAAUUGCUGCAGAGACUGAAACCAAAUCUGUUUAUUCCUUGUUCUCAAACCAUCUUCAGUUAGGAGACAUUGCUGAAAAACUUUCACCUGGAUAAAUAACCAUGAUGUCUCCAUCAAGAAUACAUCCUCAGUGAAUUAGAAUUCUUUUAUUCAAAUUGUUGAAAAUCUGUUCUGCUUGGAGGUUUAUAUCAUAUGGAAAUUAUUCAGCACCACAAAAGGAGUAUGCUGAGGCCCCAUAAAAGUUUAAAAGCUACUUUGAACUCACUCUCGGGCACAAGGAGACUUUAUUACUUGAGAUUUUGUUUGGAAAUAUAUCAUAAAUGAGUUUUUCUUAUACAUUAGAUAUCUUCUACCAUGGCUCUUUCAUAUCCAAAUUUCUCAUCAUUCUGGAAUAAAAUUAAGGCAUUUGUGCUUUUUCUUUUUUGG
ensembl:lncRNA